rnacentral:rRNA from 1 species
CCUACGGGGGGCAGCAGUGAGGAAUAUUGGUCAAUGGGCGGAAGCCUGAACCAGCCAAGUCGCGUGAGGGAUUAAGGCCCUGCGGGUCGUAAACCUCUUUUGCCGGGGAGCAGUGGUCCGGACGUGUCCGGGCCGGGAGAGUACCCGGAGAAACAGCAUCGGCGAACUCCGUGCCAGCAGCCGCGGUAAUACGGAGGAUGCGAGCGUUAGCCGGAUUUAUUGGGUUUAAAGGGUGAGUAGGCGGGCAUUUAAGCCGGCGGUCAAAUGUCGGGGGUCAACCCCGGCCUGCCGUCGGAACUGGGUGCCUUGAGUGGGCGAGAAGUAUGCGGAAUGCGUGGUGUAGCGGUGAAAUGCAUAGAUAUCACGCAGAACCCCGAUUGCGAAGGCAGCAUACCGGCGCCCUACUGACGCUGAGGCACGAAAGUGCGGGUAUCGAACAGGAUUAGAUACCCCUGUAGUC